CUGGACGCGAUGGGCGAUGCGCGAUGAGCGAUGCGUGACGAGAUUGUGAAAAUUUAUUUUCCUCAAUUCACACUAAACGCGAUUUGACGCGAUUGAACGCAACGAGCGACGUAACGAUCGGAAAAUUGGCCGCAUUGUGUUUAUUAGUACAAAGUGUGUGUGUUUAUUAAUAAAAAGAGAUCUGAAGUAUUGCAUUGAUAGAGGAUAUACGUAAAAUAUAAUUAUGUACCGGUAAGAACUUUAAACUUACAAAAUAAAGUAAUUAACCUAAAAACAGUAACAUAUUUUAUAAGAACCCAGACGUUAUAUAACCUCAAAGUGGGGUUAAAGGCGUUAAACUCUUACCAAUCGAUGUGAAUAAUUAAAAAAAUAUAACUUAAAAAAACAUAAAUGCCGCAUAUGUUAUUGUAUAAAUAUAGUACGCUAUGGAAUCAACUACUAGUAGAAAACGUUUUCUAAUGCUGAUGUCUCUAUAUGCGCAAAGAGAAUAGUUUAGUAUGGAUUACGGUGGGAGACGUUUUAUUUUAUUAACUGAUUGGUAUAUGAAACAUUGGGAACAACAAGACGACUUUAAUCAAAUGGUACGUCAACCACGACGAUGGUGGAUUCGCCCGAUAAAUCAACGCCGGAAUGACCAAGGAGAUGGUGAACAUCUAUUAUAAUUUAUGAGAUGCGGCUUCUGGAUGUGGAAUCACAUUUUAAGUAUUUUGCCGUAUGACGCUCGACGUUUUCGACGAAUUACUUACAAUUGUUGGACCAGUAAUACAGAAACCCAGGAAAUAGCACCGCUUCAGCAAUUAUUGCAGAUACGUGCGAAUGCCUAUGGAAUGUGCUGCAAAAUGAAAUGUUUAUACCAUCAGAGGACAAUUGGAAGGAAAUCGCAAAGGAGUUUUAUACGCGUUGGAAUUUUUCACAUUGUAUAGGUGAGAUAGAUGGGAAGCAUGUUGUUACAGGCAUCACCAAAAUCCGGAUCAACGUUUUAUUAACUAUAAGGGGCGUCACAGCAUAAAUUUAAUGGCAGUGGCUUGAGCAUCAUGCCGAUUUUUCCUUAUCGACAUUGGAGCUGAAGGUCGUCAUAGUGACGGUGGAGUUUUUAAAAAUUCUCUAAUGGGAAGGCUGUUUGAUGACUGACAACAAAAUUCAUGUACCUGCAUCUUCUCCAAUUGUUGAGAACGAAGAUCCAAUACCGUAUGUGUUGGUAGCAGAUGAGGCUUUUCAACUGACUAAUUAUACAAUGAGACCAUAUCCAGGCAAAACGCUGACUGAUGAUCAGAGAAUUUAUAAUUACCGUUUAAGUCGAGCUCGGAGAGUCAUUGAAAAUGCUUUUGGCGUAAUGGCGUAGUGGCACGAUGGAGAAUAUUUAGUGGACCAAUAAAUACAUCAUUACAAACGACUGAAAAAAAUUGUUAAAGCUUGUGUGGAAACUACAUAAUUUCUUAAUGAAUAAACCGCAAUACUGCAUGACAGGUUUCGCUGACUCCAUACAGUCAGAUGGGACAGUAAAUCUUGGUGAAUGGCGGCAAGAAAUACAAAACUCCGAAUUGCAGUCGAUGAGAGGAAUAGGGAGCAAUACUCAUGCUCGGAACGCAGCCAUUGUAAGGGAAAUCUUUAAAAACUACUUUCUAAGUACUGGAUCUGUUCCAUGGCAAUGGGACUUAAAUACAUAUAAUUAUUAAAUUAUUGUAAUAUUAAUUUAUUUUAAUAUUAAGUUAUUUUAUAUUUUUUAUAUUAAACAUUUUAAAAUUAAUAAAAACAAC